GUAUUUUCCACUCCAUGCAUCUGAUGAAGUGGGUUCUAGCCCAUGAAAGCUUAUGCUCAAAUAAAGGACUCCUCGUUGUUUUUGCUGAUACAGACUAACACUUCUACCACCCUGAAACCUGCCACCUGGUUCUGUUGCUUUUUCCAUCAUAGGAAACACGCUGCAGCUGAAUACGGAGAACUUGCUCCAAACUAUAGAGGAGCUCAGUGGAAAGUAUGAUCCAGUGUUUACAAUAUAUUUAGGCUCAGACUGGGCUGUGGUGCUGCAUGGACGUGAGGCUGUGAAGGACGAAUUCAGUGGAAGAUGAAUUUUGCCAAUUUUUGAGAAGAUCACCAAAGGAACAGUAUUAUUUCAAGCAGUCAGGAGCUGCAUCGAUUUGCUCUCAGUACCCUGAGGGAUUUUGGGAUGGAGAAGAAGAGCAUUGAGGAGCGGAUCCAGGAGGAGGCCCAUUUCCUGGUGGAAAGGCUCAGAAAUACACAUGGUGGGGAUCAGCUUCAUGUCUUUUGUAAUGGUAUCAUUUCUGGUUUUUAUCUGAGCAACCGUGGUUCACCUACUCCAUGGAACAGUUUUGGUUAUACAGAGAAAACUGCGCUGGUGCAAAAUUAAUGGCUACCUUUUCAGCUAUCUGUGCCUGGAAGAAUGGUCUGUGUGAAGAGGGAACGCCAGGAGAUCCUUCAUUAACCCUGUGUAUGUAUAUGAGGAGACACAUUGAUGCUGCCGCUUUUGCUCCAUGAAUCAAUGGGGCAGUUGUUACUCUUAGGAAGAACAAAAAGGAUCCUGACUGCAUCAAAGGACAUGAUUAGAGUCUGGUGCUGGGGAAGCACCCACUGAACCUUCUGAAAGAGCAGCCCUUUGAUCCCAUCCUCUCCCUCACCCAUGUGGUCUCUGUCAUCUGUUCCAUUGUCUUCAGGGACCAGUUUGACUACGAGGAUAAAACGUUUUUGACAUUAAUGGGUCUGAUAGAGGAAAAUGAUGAGCUCUUCUGCUCUCUCCCAGCAUGGCUGAAGAUUUUUUCCCCCGACUCUUAUGGAUUACAUACCUGGGCCUCACAAAAAGAGAUUUAAAAACUUAAAGGAAUUCACAAGUUUUGUUUUGGAGACAGUGAAGAUGCACAAAGGGUCUCUGGAUCCCAAUUAUCCUUGAGACUUCAUCGAUGCUUUCCUUAUCAAAAUAGAACAGGAGCAGAAAAGGAAAGAGAAAUUAGAAAAAAAAGAAAGAAAUGUUAUUAAAAGCGGCAACGAGAUAUUAGAGAAUAUCCAACCACUAACAGUGUAGCAACCGGCAUCUGGAGCUUGUCAACAAAAUACGUCCGAUCCGAUCUGAAAGCAUCCCACUUUGAAAGUUAAAAAUAAUACAGCUCCUGGAAACACCUGAGGAACAAAGACUGAACUGGGGGAAGUGCUCGACUCAGGCUAAAAGGAUUUCUUGUCGUGUAUGAAAGACCUGGGGAUUUCAAGCUGUAAAGCAAGAGCAGCUUGUUCCUUAAGAAUCUGCAAGCCUGCUUGUGUCAUCUCUCAGAAUGAGAAACUGCUAAUUCAUAUCCAAUCUAUCUAGUAUAUUAAGCUUAGUUUGUGUUUUGUUUAUUUGCUAGGUAAUCUGCUCUGAUUUGUUUCCUGUCCCUUAUAAUCACUUAAAAAUCUAUCUUUUGUGGUUAAUAAACUUGUUUUUGCUUUAUCUAAACUAGAGAGUUUGAGUGAAAUGCAUGGGAAAUCGUAGUUCAAGGGGCAAAGGCUUUUGCGUAUUCCUCUCCACAUGGGGGGGAGAG